GGAGUUCGAGGAAAAUCCCCCGAUCGGAACCAUCAAGGAUGAUCCGGGAGCUAUC
rnacentral:tRNA from 1 species